UUCUACCCGGGGGCUUCAGUACAUCUGGCUUUAUCUCCGGGGUGCUUCCAUACAAAGGGGGACAGAAGAGACAAUGGAAGGCCUCAGCACCGCAGGAGGGGAGACGGAUGUCAUCUACAGUCGCACAAUACAUGGGAGGUCACGGAACGCCAGGGUGACGUAACAAUUCAAACCAUGAAAAAGGUAACAGAGCCCUUGGGACGUCUCAACAUGAGGUGACACAGCCAACCUGUGAUGCAUACAUGGGAGCAAAUGCAUAGAAAAGCUUGUCAAUGACACAGCAAAGUAAAACCCAAAUGAAGCAAGAUGAAGAAUGGGCUGCACAGCAGGUAAAACUGCACCACGUUACAGACUGCUCGCCUGGGAUGGAACGGUGGAGAGGUGCGCAGAGGGAUGGACAAGCGCCUGGCAAGAUGGAUUUCUUUCCCCAGACUUCUAAUGCUACUAACACUUCCCUCCUCACAAGGUCGCUAUAACAAGGUAACAUACAGCACUUAGAAGACGGCCUGACCCAGAGUAACACUAAUGUUCACAUGGCUGCGACUCUCAGACCAAAAUCAAUAGCUGGUAUCUACUGAAACUUCAGCAAGGCGAAACCAGGGGAAUGGCGCUCCUUUGAGCAGAGCAACGCGCAUCACAUCACUUCCUCCGUAGGGGGAGGCUCCGGCCUCACUGGAGCAGCACUUCCCGGAAGAGCCCAGGAUAUUCGGGGACCGCCACCGGACAGCAGUCCAGGCUCCCUGGCGCCCAGCCUGCCGCCCUGUUGCAGUUCUCGUGCCAAGACGUGCGCCUAAGGGCAGGGAUUC